UAUUAAAAGUUUCAUUUAUCUGUAUUAUUAAAAACUAGUGUGACUGACAAAAUAAUCAAACAGUGGCACGUGGUGUGCCGCAUUAACCUCAUGCUAAUGUAUAGAGACCAAUUUUUAAUAAUAGAAAUGGAUGAAAUUUUUAACA
rfam:Gossypium raimondii Chr01_contig_138, whole genome shotgun sequence.